rnacentral:tRNA from 1 species
GGACAAUAUCUCAGAUAGCUUGACCGGUUGAGCCCUUGGCUUGUAAUCAAAUGGUCCGGGUUCGAGUACCGGUCUGUCCG